AUCUGGGAAUGCAGCCCAGUAGGUUUCAGCCUCUUUUUACCCAGCUCCUAUUCAAUCAAGACGGAGUUGCUCUGGUUCACAUGCCUCUAAUACUGCUAUUUCAACUGAAAGCCUAACUCCUGAUAAAAGUUGCUGGGUUUGUUUUGCUACUGAUGAAGAUGAUAGAACAGCUGAAUGGGUGAGACCAUGCAGGUGCAGAGGAUCUACAAAAUGGGUUCACCAGGCCUGUCUACAACGCUGGGUGGAUGAAAAGCAAAGAGGAAACAGUACAGCCAGAGUGGCAUGUCCUCAGUGCAAUGCUGAAUACCUAAUAGUUUUUCCAAAAUUGGGUCCAGUGGUUUACGUCUUGGAUCUUGCAGAUAGACUGAUCUCAAAAGCCUGUCCAUUUGCUGCAGCAGGAAUAAUGGUCGGCUCUAUCUAUUGGACAGCUGUGACUUAUGGAGCAGUGACAGUGAUGCAGGUUGUAGGUCAUAAAGAAGGUCUGGAUGUUAUGGAGAGAGCUGAUCCUUUAUUCCUUUUAAUUGGACUUCCUACUAUUCCUGUCAUGCUGAUAUUAGGCAAGAUGAUUCGCUGGGAGGACUAUGUGCUUAGACUGUGGCGCAAAUACUCGAAUAAACUACAAAUUUUAAAUAGUAUAUUUCCAGGGAUAGGUUGUCCUGUUCCUCGAAUUCCAGCUGAGGCCAAUCCUUUAGCAGAUCAUGUCUCUGCUACUCGAAUCUUGUGUGGAGCCCUUGUCUUUCCUACUAUUG
rnacentral:sRNA from 1 species